GGGGUUGUGGCUCAGUGGUGGAGUGCUCACCUAGCACAUGUGAGGCACUGGGUUCAAUCCUCAGCACCACA
rnacentral:tRNA from 1 species